UAUAUAUAUGCGGAGCUCCUUUUGGUCCAAAAUGAGGACUCUGAAAGAGGGCAUAGCAGGUCUGCUAGUUCAUGGAUACCUAUGGGUUGCAGUUGGAAACUAACACAUUUUUGCGCAGCUUAAGGGUUUGCAUGACCUGGGAGACGUGUUUCCCUUCCCCUUUCCUUAAUUGGAUUGAAGGGAGCUCCUCCUGUUUAUUUG
rnacentral:pre_miRNA from 9 species